GCUUGUCUCAAAGAUUAAGCCAUGCAUGUCUAAGUAUAAGUAUUAUACAGCGAAACUGCGAAUGGCUCAUUAAAACAGUUAUAGUUUACAUGAUAAUCGAAUUUACAUGGAUAACCGUGGUAAUUCUAGAGCUAAUACAUGCGUCAAGUCCCGACUAGCGCAAGCUGGAAAGGAUGUAUUUAUUAGAUCCAACCAACCGCGGCGGGCAACCGGCGCGAACCUGGUGAAUCAUGAUAACUGAGCGAAUCGUAUGGCCUCGCGCCGACGAUGGUUCAUUCAAGUUUCUGCCCUAUCAGCUUUCGAUGGUAGGGUAUUGGCCUACCAUGGCAUUGACGGGUAACGGAGAAUUAGGGUUCGAUUCCGGAGAGGGAGCCUGAGAAACGGCUACCACAUCCAAGGAAGGCAGCAGG
rnacentral:rRNA from 1 species